UUUUGACUUUUCUAAUUUAUGUUCAGGCAGCCAAGGAAUAUGCCCGCCGAUAAUAAAAUUGUCCCUUCCAUUCGAAAGGAAGUGUUUAAUUAUGCAAUUUCUUUUUCUUUUUCUUUUUUUACUAUGAAUAUUAGUUGAUAGUGGGAUGUCCAAAUUUUUAUAUAGAGAAAAGUCUAUAGUAAUAUUUUAUAUUAGAGAUAAUAA
rnacentral:lncRNA from 1 species